rnacentral:rRNA from 1 species
UACGAGGGGGGCUAGCGUUGUUCGGAAUUACUGGGCGUAAAGCGCACGUAGGCGGAUUAGUUAGUCAGGGGUGAAAUCCCGGGGCUCAACCUCGGAUCUGCCUUUGAUACUGCUGAUCUCGUGUCCGGAAGAGGUGAGUGGAAUUCCUAGUGUAGAGGUGAAAUUCGUAGAUAUUAGGAAGAACACCAGUGGCGAAGGCGGCUCACUGGUCCGGUACAGACGCUGAGUUGCGAAAGCGUGGGGAUCAAACAGG